rnacentral:rRNA from 2 species
GAGUAACGGAGGCGCUCAAAGGUUUCCUCAGAAUGGUUGGAAAUCAUUCAUAGAGUGUAAAGGCAUAAGGAAGCUUGACUGCGAGACUUACAAGUCGAGCAGGGUCGAAAGACGGACUUAGUGAUCCGGUGGUUCCGCAUGGAAGGGCCAUCGCUCAACGGAUAAAAGCUACCCCGGGGAUAACAGGCUUAUCUCCCCCAAGAGUUCACAUCGACGGGGAGGUUUGGCACCUCGAUGUCGGCUCAUCGCAUCCUGGGGCUGUAGUCGGUCCCAAGGGUUGGGCUGUUCGCCCAUUAAAGCGGUACGCGAGCUGGGUUCAGAACGUCGUGAGACAGUUCGGUCCCUAUCCGUCGUGGGCGUAGGAAAUUUGAGAGGAGCUGUCCUUAGUACGAGAGGACCGGGAUGGACAUACCUCUGGUGUACCAGUUGUCGUGCCAACGGCAUCGCUGGGUAGCUAUGUAUGGACGGGAUAAGUGCUGAAAGCAUCUAAGCAUGAAGCCCCCCUCAAGAUGAGAUUUCCCAACUUCGGUUAUAAGAUCCCUCAAAGAUGAUGAGGUUAAUAGGUUCGAGGUGGAAGCAUAGCGAUAUGUGGAGCUGACGAAUACUAAUCGAUCGAAGACUUAAUCAAUUUUUAAAU